GUUUACUUCCGCGGGCUUCACAAACAUCCUAAACAAGGCAUCGAAGCUUGCGGAGAACACGGUAGAUCAUUCUAGAACUUUCAGAAGGGCAAGAGCCAAUGGGAGUGUUCGCCUCACUGCGGAAGCCGGCCGCUCCUCUCUGAUUGGUCGAAGGACCUCAAGGGCGCCCUGGAUGUUUCGAGAGCUGCGCGGGAAUACUAUAAAAGGCGGCUACGCGCUCGACCAGCAGUACGGCGCGGCUUCGACCUGGGGACGGCGGCCUGGCUUUGCGCGGUUCUACCGACGGCUGGAGAGAUGGAGAGGUUGGCUGGACGCAUGAUCCGUCGACGGAGUCCUAUGACGCAGUUCCAGUUAGGCGUACCGCACCGAAGGAGACCGCAUCUCAGGAGCAAGGAUCAUGGAGGCAUCACUUAAAAUUAUGUAGGCUUUUAAGCUGAGUCAAUUUCAUUUCCGACACGGCAACUUUUCGUCGACCUUUGUCGGCUGGGACGACGAAAAACAAGGACGUAUCUCCCCCGGCGAUGAGAGGAUCAUUUUCAGCACCGAAUCGCCGCUGAUAGUGGCGCAGCAAUAUGCAAUGGAGCAGAGGCGUAUACAUUGCGGGAGAUAACGAAUGGCGCAAAUUGUGUGCGCGCUCGUUGAUCUGAGGUUGUAGAACUUCAUCUUAGGUCGUAGAGGAUGAAAUAUAACAAGAUGAGUCAACAACGUAACCGAGGUACGUAUGCUGUUCACGAGAAAAAAAAAAAUGUGAACGAAGGUGCGUAAUAUAAGAAAAAGCAGCAAUAAAACGUCAGUUUAUAACCGACCGAGUUGUUCCCAUUGUGCUAUUCUUCAAGAGAACCACAUGCACGCAGGCUUAGUUUUGUUCCGUCGUGGCAGCGUCGGUCUGAGAUGACAUUCACAGGGGGGUAUUGAAUCUCUUCAUCGCUAAUGACCCUUGAUAGGCUCACUCAACCGACCAAUACCAGAGCUUAGAAUGCCCCCGAACGAGUUCCAAAUAGUAUUUCACAUGCUCGUAAGACGAUAGCUGUUGAAUAAAUUUAAAUUCACACUACUAAAUUAACGAAAUACUGGCCUAGUCUCAAAAUCUUAAAUUCAGUUUUCAUGUAGAAAUUUUGUUAUAGCGGGUGAUGGGCCCCUUGCUUAAUUUCGAAAACGAUACAUUUCUGUAAAAGUGUUUUCUGCGAAUAAAUUUAAGUUCAGGAAUUCAAUAUAUUCAAUAUAUUGCAUUGAGUAUAUUCAGGCAUAUUACAUUGUCCAUGUUUCGAGCCUCGUGUGUUAUACUUGCAUACUUGCUUGUGGCGCAGCUUGUCUUUUUUUUACCGUCAACGUAUACAGCUGGGCGAUGGAUCUAGGACUGUUGUGAGCAUGCGCUACGCGGACGAAAGACGAACUUCACUGGUUUAGUAAUACUUUCUAUAGGCUGCCUGCCUGUUCGCGCGUGCACUUGCUAGGAAUUUGCAAGUAAUCAAUCUUGCACCCCGAAGAAUGCACAUCAGGGACACGCGUGUUUUGGGGUGCACCCCUAUGUGACACGCCUCCACAGUUUCACAGUGCAUCAUAAUCGAUCAUAAUUUAUCUGUAAAAAGUAGCCAUAUCAAUGACAAACCAUGUGUCGUCACAUCGUUGCGAUUUUUCAUGUCUCUUAAUUGUCCCUGUCGUAAGCUCCCGUCCACAAAUAUUGCCCGCAUUUCCAUAACUUUAAAUGUGCUUGGAUCAGCGUCUAAUCAAGGCAUUAUGUGGAGGAGCAGCAGAUAAAAAGGCAGGAAGGUUGGCCAGUGCUUUAACCAGCUGGGUAUCUUAUGCUGGGAAAAGGUCGGGGUUUUGUAGAACAAAAGGAGAUACAAGCGGACACUGUUCCCAAGAAAAUAAAACAGAAGAAAAAAAAUCUAAUGUGUGCGCUGUAGUGCACGGUAUCUGCUGUUCUCUAAACACAAGGGAGGAAAGAUGAAGUGAUUCUCGACUCUACGUUCUACGAAUUUGAACGCCUUAGUUCCCAGCUUUAUCGAGGAGGAAUUUAGAGUAUGAAGUACAGCAUGACAUUCUUAUUUCGUUUGCGUAAUUUUCGAUCACUUCGCCUAGGUAUCCCUUCCAGAGGCAGGUAUUUCGCGUGCUUUGCCUCAAGGAUAUCCUGCCGCUUAUGUCCAUUGAAUGUGAAGUUCUAGUGGCAGACUUAGUCUCUCUCGCGAGGUCAGGCUAUUUCACUGGAACACACCUCCAGGUGUAUUCUAUACACGGUGCCUAUACAAAGAUAGUAUUGGAUGGUGACAUCAAUUUACACUAUGAAUGGGGGGUCUAAAUUAGACGAGUGGGGAAGGCGCUUAUGCGACUAAUCUGCAGCAAAUAUUUUUCUUUUCUAUCACAAUUCUGGUUCGGUAACAAUGCUCCGCAAGUGAUUGAAAUCUAUAUCAAAGACUAGAGUUUCGAGCCGAGGUCUUUCCUUAUUAUCCUGGCUGAAGGAUGGAUGUAGGGACAACCAGCAAUCACGUUUCACUGGUGUUCGAAGUCACACGCCAGCAGUCUGCUGUAUUCUGUGGAGAACAAAAUUAAUUCUGUUGAUCAACAAAUUUAAAAAUUACUUGUGGACAACCUUUAAGUCCAUCUGAGGUCAUCAAUAUAUAGCGCUGGUAAUAUUUGCGCUGUCUUGUGACGCUUCGCGAAGUCAGAAUUCGAAGCUGAGGGUACACAACGAGCUCUAUAUAGAAAUCGGUGGAACGACGCGGGUGCAUGACAGAAAGUUGCGUGCAAACGGCUCGUGCGUAACCAGUCGGCUAGAACCUGCAAGUUUUUUUUACAGAAACACUUAAACGUUGAACAGUAUCUGAAGCAAAAGGCGAUUACAACGGCCGACACUGGGAAUUUAAGUCUAAUCACAUGCGUGCGUUAUUUCGCUUUUUAUAAAACACUAAGAAUGAUUUCACGCAUCUUAAACAUAGAGCUGUUAGUGUUAAUCACCCAGGAAGUAGCCGACUCCAGACGUAAUUGCCAGAAGUUUGGAGACCAGAUUGUCGAGCUGUGUUCACACCUCGGUGACGUGGCACGAUAAAAGAUUUGGAAGAAAUCUCGUUGCCAGAAAUAUCUUUCGUUGUUUAAUGUUUAGUAGCUGCAGUUCCAAGUCACGAUGGACUCUCCACAAAAAUUGGAUCGGUCGUUUUGCAAUGUCCUCCACAACAUAACGAAACGCACUAGGCCUGAAAGUGAACAUUAAAAGUGUCGCAUAAUUGAUUUUAGUUAAUUAGCUAAUUAAGCGCUAUAUAAAAUAUACCCAAACGAGUCCCACAUGACGGUGAACCAUAUGUCUUUGGUAUAAUUCAGUUGCGGUUUGCAACCGCGUUAUUGCAGAGUUUGUGGGGAUAUUAUUCUGCGGUGCUCCAUCUUGGCAGCUGUGUCCUCUAGCUUUAUGAGAACAUGAAGUGCUCCCUUUGUUCCUUGAACUACAUAUAUGUUUGUAGCAAACCACAUGAUAUACAAGGAAUGGUUAAUUCGUUCGAAAGAGAGAGUUAUGAUUACAAUUGAGACAUUCAUAAGGCUUCAUGAAUCUCCGCGAAGACGAUCCUAGUCCAUCUUUGACAGACAGCCAGAAUUCUUGAAAAAAAGGAAUGCCUAGUGGCCUCGGUGUCACUCCCCGCUUGUGAUUAUCACAGAACUACUGGAUCCGUUGAGUGUAAAGGUUAGUGAUGUUAGCGUAUUCAGCAGCAGUUCAAGUUCUUUGGCCAUCACAUAUGUUAACGUAUAUCCCAACAGUGCAAAGCAGCUUUUCUGGCAUGUCCUUAACGAGUUACUUCAGGAUCAUUGGACUUUGCACAGACGUUGUUAUGGCAACUGACACUUCGAAAUGGGAGAAAAGGCCAGAGCUGGAAUAUUUUAGUUCUCGCUAGGAUAAUAUUUUUCUGUUCGACUACCGAAAUGCACACACAUAUUCAUGGUGAAUUCCGGGCUGUUAUAGUACUAUUGCGUAAGCCUCAUUCCCCGAUUAUUACCGAGGUAAUAAUCACAUCUUUAUCGUUGCGCUCUUCGCUACCUGCUCCCGGUGAAUCGCAUAUAUUCGUAACUUUACGCGUACUCGCUACAAUUAACUUGAAGAGAUUUGUUUCGUAUGGGUACGUGGACCCAAAGAUAUAUUUUUAAGUGGUGUGGCAGUCACGCUUUUCUUGCAGGCCCUGUGUUUUCGCCGCUUCCAUCUACGGCUUUCAUUACUGCGGUCUGGGUUAGAAGGUACAACCCUUUAACCUCAAUAUCUAGUCUCGCAUCCUCCUCUGACUUGCUGAACCUACCGAUUCUCUUGGAGCAGGAGGUCAUGUAAAACGCGAAAGAUCGAACUCAGUCACAUUGGCAAGACUGCGAUGCCGCAUCCCAGCCCUAGAUUUAUACUUGCAGCACAUGAUGUGGUCUGGCGAACCCUGUCUUUUUGUUGUUGUUCUUGAAGGUCACGCUUGAGUGUUCACGUAAGUUGCUGUACAACAUCUUUCAAGGCCAGCGUAGACAUUUAAAGCGUUCGCCUUAAUAACGGGCCCACACGGAACUUUAAACUACGCCUGAGGCAACUGAAGCAUAUCGGAAGAGGCCGAAUUGAAACUUGUAUAUUGGCUCCUAGAUGUAUACGACUCGAUCCAUUUACCAAUCAUACUAUAUUUGUUAUGCAUGAGAUUUUAAGAACUAUCUGACGCCUUGACGAAAUCCAAGAAAACAGCUUGGGACAGUAAUUCUUUGGACGAUAUGCGCAGCAAGUUAACAGCGCAGAACAACACAGGCGAAAGAAGAGAACAGCGGCUCUCACCUUUCGUAUGUGUUGUUCUGAACUGUUAGCGUCUAACAAGAAAAUAGCGUCGACGUGGCUACGUUUUUAUGGAAAGUUUAGCUGCGCGACAGUGGAAAACCACACCUGAAGCCGUUCUUCGCAGGCAAUAAAACUGAGUUAACGUCCAGGUCAACAGGAUGCCAGUAUUUUAAAUGUGCAGGUCGGUGCUAUCAGCUUAUAGUUUCUCUCUGUUCCUUCAAAGUUUAGUAUACCGCAGUCUGCUUCAAAGCAAGAUAGUAAGCAUAAAUUUGAGAGAUAUGAAAUAGCGACCAUAGUAUGCAAUGCAUUCAGCUAUAGCAGACAGGACCACGAAUCACCCACUAAUUUCAUCGUUUUCCAGUGAAGUUGCUGGUGAUCGCUGUAUUAUUCCAUGGCAUUCUAUACAUUCCAUUGCCUAUCCUUAAAAGUGGAGGUGCUAAAAGACGCUUUGAACGUCCAUCUAUAAAACAGAGUGAGCCAGUUAUAUUAGUUACCCGGCAUGAAUUAAGGGUCAGUGAGCAUUGCGUAAUCGUAUCGCAAUUAGUAGUCGGUAUUGAUGCAGCCUUGCAGUUAUGGCUGUUUCGACGUAAAUUCGUGGGUAUAGCGAGUGUGGGUAUAACACCCCCCCCCCCCCACCUCCGCAUGGUUCUUUUGGAUGCACAAAUGAAAAUCAAGCUAUGACGUGAUUUUCCGAUACACUGCAGCGCAAGAAACACACGGACGGAACACAAACGAUGACGACAAGCAGUCGCCGUUGUCGUUCGCGCUGCAGUGUCAGAAUUAUGCAGCAGCAAGCCCAACUCGCCGCUUUAUACGCGAUUCUCACAGCCUUAUGUUCCCGGCCCUCGGGGGCACAGGUGGGAAGGAAAGUUCUUGAAAUGCAACAUCAGGGGUCCUCGGCCGCCUUUAUAGCCAAAAAUCUGCAUGGCCUUGACCCUUCACAUUAAACAAUGACGGGGCAGGUCCGACUAAGCUAACGUAUAGGGUAGGCUUGGCGCCUCCGUUAGACGACAAGGUGAAGGCGGAAGGACGCCUCGCCCCUGACCCCCAUUGGCGCACGCCUAUGGCUACGGGUUAACGUUUAUCCACGUCUAGACGCUACGUAAAGUUGUAGACACAAUAGCCAGGCUACAAAAUGUUCGGGACUUGGGUUUCCGCUCACGGCUUCACGCGAAUUUAUUUACAAAGUAUUCGCAGUGUGGCGCAGAUGACAGCGGCCCUUGUCGAGGUGCGCCAGUGUCUGGUCUAGUUGGCCAGCGCCGGUCUACCUGCUCCACUGCUUUCUUGAGCGUCUUCGGUAGGCGCCGUCGCCGGCACCGCUUGUUGUAGGUUUGUUGGUUGCGGGUCCUUCGUGGCUGAUUCAGGCUUCUGUUCGCGCGGUGCGCUGAUGGCUCCUCCAUGGCCGGAUGGCGACGCGGCCUUUGAAGACGUCACGUCGAAGGGCUCCGAUGGCGCCGGAGAUGAGGGCUUAAUCCCCAACGGCUGGUCUUGUGGAUGGGGCGCGGGUUCACUCACACUCACUGUCAUCGUAGACGUGCUUGCUGGGGCUGGGGGAAUGACAGCGGUGCCCGGAGCUGAAAUAGCAAGGGCCAUUACUCAUUGAUUGAAGCUCAAUUGCGUUGAUGCUAGUUGUAAAUCUAGUUGUGCUUCAAAAGCAGCUGGGCAAAGUAGAAAGAGCCACAGGGACAAAACCGUACAGACGAAGCGCAUCUGUAAACAGUUCGUAGAUGCGCCUGGUAUGUGCGGUGUCGUCGCUGUGGCUGCUUCACUUAUGCGGCGCUGAUCUUGAAGCACUACCAGUCAGUACUCAGCUUGUAUUGCAGGGAUGACAAAAAAAAAAAAAAACGCAAGCGCAGUAUAUAAUAACCUUUCUGUACUGUGGUAUUUCCCCAUGCGUACUAAUACCGCACGACGAUAAUUUCAGAUUGAUGAUUCGGUUUAUUUCACCACAUCAGUACCGCAGUACGAAACGGCAUGCAUGUUUUAUGGCGAGGAUAGCAGGAAGUCAUCUGCAUAUCUCCAGUUUCACUAGCACUCCUCUCUUCCCGAUACUCCCUUUGAACAAAGGCAUCAACAUGCUGUGCAUAAACAGAGUCGUAUGCACAAUUUAAGUCGCAGUUCAAACCAAGCAUAAAGUUACUGGGAAUGUCACAUUUACAUAAAAAAAACAUCGGAGACACCAUAUUUCAGAUUCAAUUUUUCGACACUAUACGUAAACUGUCAUCUGUUUGAAUUUGUUUAUUGGGUAGGCAAUACUGUAACGGCCGUGAUCCAUAGUUUGCACGCGCCAGUGGAGUAUGGCAGGUAACAGUAUGUCCUGUUGAACGUUCAGAGGGGUUUAGAGCUAAGUUUAGUAACGUGUGUAUGUGGUGGCCAUUUCGAAUCAGUUCUGAUGUAAUUGAACCAGCAAGCUGAAAUUUCCACUGCCGGUAAUGUGCACACGCGAAGUUAUUGUCCGGAACUAUCGCGUCGUGAGAAAAUAUUCCAAAAGCCAGGGGAAUUCAUCUUAAACAUUUCCAAACACUGGCUUUACUCAACAUAAAAACAUAACAUAACCGUAUAGGCGGCGAAACGUCUCUCUCUUGUUAUGCUUUCAUGUUGAGUAAAGCCAGUGAUUGGAAAGGUUAAAGACUAUCGCGUCGACAAAGAUGUCAGCUCCGGAUAGAUAUUAGCGAUAUAUAUUCAUCUACCAAAUUCUUUCACUUGUUUCCAGCUGCGUAUGCGCGCAGCACUCUCGUCAACCUGAUGGCCAUAACAGUCACGCGUAUCGAGGCUUAUUCCUCUAUAGGUACAUGCUAGAUCGUCUGCCUCGCAAGUUUCGUCUAGAUAAGCCUUAUGUUAAACACAAGCUUAAACUCAUCGAAACCAUCGCCAUGUCUUGGGGUACCAUGUCGAAUGCUGCAGCGUGUUCUCUAGCUCCUUCAGUCUACCGCGCCGAUCGAACGUUACCAGAUAACAUUUUGUAGGCUUUAUUGAGAACUCGGCGCACCACCAUUUUAAUGAGUACACCGUACCAGCGACAGCAACAUUCAAGUUAUAGUUAAUCCUUCUUUAUUUGACAUGCGGAUGAGGAUAUUCGUGCGCUAGUGAUGUCCACUGCAUGGUGUAAGCUAAGGAUAAGACGUGUGUUAACAAGGAUAUUCCGGCUGUAUAGUUUCUCAGUAUACUGAAGACAAAUUUCGAUACUUGUACGACAACCCAUGCCGCGAUGUCGCAUUUGCGACAGUUCAUUCUCAUUUUCUCUCGUUCAUUCUUCAGAAGAACCGCACCGGUACAGGGCCGAGGCGUAUCGCGUUAACUUUUUACAGAAGCGCAAGCAUAUACCCGACGAUACCCCGAUCGCGCAAUUGUCUAACCGAAGAAAAAUAUUUAUUGACACUACUUGCACUGCUCUUACGGACAUUGUUCUCUUUUCAAUGCCAAGAAGGCUUUCAUGUGCUUGUCCCAGACUUCACUGAUAAUAAAAAAAAAAAGCAAACAAAGUGAACCAACAUGUACUACUGAGACGCGGAGCAUCCAUCGAAACUUUUUUUUUCUAGCAUAUCAUAUUUAGAAGGAGGUCCCACAGCACGUGGUUGGCAUAGAAGAUGUUGCAAGGACUCUCUUGAAGUAAACAAGUUUUAAAAUCUAUUUAUUAAUUCACUAUGACGGUGUAUAUUUGCGAUGAGCACCGUGCAACGAAAGUGCGUGUUACAGCAGCUCAGUGGUCGUCCAUUUCUUUAUAUUCGCACGCCGCACUGUGCAAUUUUUUAACAUCGAAGCUGUUGUGGCUAGGCGUAGUUCGUGCGGUGUUGAAAAAAAAAAACAAGAAAAAAAAACACGUGGGUAUGCGCCACAGGAAUUUGACAAGCCCCACUACCGAGUACAGCAGGUCCGAUCGUUAAACGAAAAUUCUGCUCGGCGAAGUGGUGCACGUGAAACACGUGAACGAGAGAGAGAGAGAAAGAAAACGAUAUAAAGAAAAAGAAAGAUAGAGAGAAACAAAGAGAAGGAAGCAGAGAGAGAGAGAUAGAAAAAUAGAAAGACUAGAAAUGUAGAAAAAGGUAUAGAAAGAAAGGGACACGAAAAAGAGAUAGAAAAAACUGAGAGCAAAACAGAAAGCGAAUGAAAGAGAAAUAAAGAGAAGCAAAAAGACAGAGAGAACGAAGCAGAGAAAGGGAGAAAGAAAGGGAAGGAAGAAAAAUAAAGAUGGAAAGAGAGAGUAAGAAAGAAAUAGAAACAAAAAUGAGGUACAAGAAACAGAAAGAUAAGCAAGAAAAAAAGGAAGAGGGACAACGAAGGCCAUCAAGCUGCGUUUUGAAAUAUUGCAUAUACUGUUCGUUACGUCGCGUUUCUGUUGGAAUUCGUAAAUAUCCACGCUAACUAUGGUCUCCUCGUUCUCCAGCUUGUUAUCUGUAGAUAUCCUCGUGCGUUAUUGAUAGCGUCUGCUA